UAAGGAAUAUUGGUCAAUGGACGCAAGUCUGAACCAGCCAUGCCGCGUGGAGGAUUAAGGCCCUCUGGGUUGUAAACUCCUUUUAUCUGGGAAGAAAUGUACUUUUUCUUGAGUACUUGACGGUACCAGAGGAAUAAGCACCGGCUAACUCCGUGCCAGCAGCCGCGGUAAUACGGAGGGUGCAAGCGUUAUCCGGAUUCACUGGGUUUAAAGGGUGCGUAGGUGGGCAGGUAAGUCAGUGGUGAAAUUUCCGGGCUUAACCCGGAAACUGCCGUUGAUACUAUUUGUCUUGAAUAUUGUGGAGGUAAGCGGAAUAUGUCAUGUAGCGGUGAAAUGCUUAGAUAUGACAUAGAACACCAAUUGCGAAGGCAGCUUACUACACAAUCAUUGACGCUGAGGCACGAAAGCGUGGGGAUCAAACA
rnacentral:rRNA from 1 species